rnacentral:lncRNA from 1 species
UUAUAAGGAAGGCGUCGGUCCUCCAUUUCAGCCUUCUCUCUGGAAGGACUUACAACUGGCAUUUCUGGUCUUAUAGACACAGAACUGGAAGAAAAAU